rnacentral:rRNA from 1 species
AGCGAACGCUGGCGGCAGGCCUAACACAUGCAAGUCGAACGAAGUCUUCGGACUUAGUGGCGGACGGGUGAGUAACACGUGGGAACGUACCUUUUGGUUCGGAACAACUCAGGGAAACUUGAGCUAAUACCGAAUGUGCCCUUAGGGGGAAAGAUUUAUCGCCAUUAGAGCGGCCCGCGUUAGAUUAGCUAGUUGGUGAGGUAAAGGCUCACCAAGGCUACGAUCUAUAGCUGGUCUGAGAGGAUGAUCAGCCACACUGGGACUGAGACACGGCCCAGACUCCUACGGGAGGCAGCAGUGGGGAAGCUUGCGCAAUGGGCGAAAGACUGACGCAGCCAUGCCGCGUGAAUGAUGAAGGUCUUAGGAUUGUAAAAUUCUUUUAGCAGGGACGAUAAUGACGGUACCUGCAGAAAAAGCCCCGGCUAACUUCGUGCCAGCAGCCGCCGUAACAC